rnacentral:rRNA from 1 species
GUCGAGCGAACGGACGAGAAGCUUGCUUCUCUGAUGUUAGCGGCGGACGGGUGAGUAACACGUGGAUAACCUACCUAUAAGACUGGGAUAACUUCGGGAAACCGGAGCUAAUACCGGAUAAUAUUUUGAACCGCAUGGUUCAAAAGUGAGAGACGGUCUUGCUGUCACUUAUAGAUGGAUCCGCGCUGCAUUAGCUAGUUGGUAAGGUAACGGCUUACCAAGGCAACGAUGCAUAGCCGACCUGAGAGGGUGAUCGGCCACACUGGAACUGAGACACGGUCCAGACUCCUACGGGAGGCAGCAGUAGGGAAUCUUCCGCAAUGGGCGAAAGCCUGACGGAGCAACGCCGCGUGAGUGAUGAAGGUCUUCGGAUCGUAAAACUCUGUUAUUAGGGAAGAACAUAUGUGUAAGUAACUGUGCACAUCUUGACGGUACCUAAUCAGAAAGCCACGGCUAACUACGUGCCAGCAGCCGCGGUAAUACGUAGGUGGCAAGCGUUAUCCGGAAUUAUUGGGCGUAAAGCGCGCGUAGGCGGUUUUUUAAGUCUGAUGUGAAAGCCCACGGCUCAACCGUGGAGGGUCAUUGGAAACUGGAAAACUUGAGUGCAGAAAAGGAAAGUGGAAUUCCAUGUGUAGCGGUGAAAUGCGCAGAGAUAUGGAGGAACACCAGUGGCGAAGGCGACUUUCUGGUCUGUAACUGACGCUGAUGUGCGAAAGCGUGGGGAUCAAACAGGAUUA